CUUAGCCCCGCGGUCGCGCGCGCCCCUCCCCGGCACAGAGGGAGGGGAAGAAAACCGAAAGGGAAGGGAGGGGACUUGCGGCCCGAUGUCCUCGGGGGCGUUAGCCCGCCGGAGCUCCCCGCAAACUACAGAGGUCUUCCCAAGGCACCGCCCCGUCACCCCCGUGCCUGGUCCUACUGUGCCAGGCCGUGCCCAGGCCGCUGUCUUGGUCACCGCUCGCGGUUUGCUGUCGGGCCGCCCCGCUCACCCCAGGGCAUCUCUGUCUCCACACCGACCCAGCCGAGAGGAUGCGACGGGGAACAGAAAUGCAGGCCGACCCCAAAGGGUCCCAAGAAACGGAGGAGUAGGUUUUUAAAGCAAAAUGGAGCGACUGCGACAUCAAGACUCCGGGUUUUGUGGGGUUAGCAGGGCCUGGUGUUGCUGUGGCGGGCUCGUGUAGAGCAAUAGGGCACAGUUGAAGAUAGGGGUAGUUCCCUGGGGCCGUUGCUCUCCUUUUCUCCCGGGGGUGAUUGUUUCCCAGCCUCCCCGCCUUCUAGACCAGGGCCUUGCUGCAGUCAAGACCUACCCACGGGGUGUGGGGUGUGCGCCUGGGCUCCCGGUGCCUGGGGCUCAGGCCGCGGAGUGCUAGGCAGCGCUCGCAGAACUCCCUCCAGACACGGUUCCGAGUUCAAGCAAAGGUGGAUUGACGGGCAAUAUCCCUAGGCUGCCUUUCUGCCAGGCGCAGCAGCCUGCUGGGGGGAAAAAAUUAACUACACAGUCACCUAUGAUGUAGUAGUUAAAAAAUAACCCCCCAGGUCCUGUGAUUGUCACUUGGCGUCUUUGUUGUGGUCCCAGUGUUAAACCACGCUGCAAAGAAAAGACCACCAACCAAUUGAAAUAAAUUAAAGCAAGCUUGUAAUUCCGACCCUCUCUCCUGAAAACGGCGGGAUAGAAGACAGCACCCCAGCUCUUUAGGAGCACAGCUUUAUAGCACAGAAAGUUGCAAAAAAUGGGGAGGAUGUCUUGAGAACUUACAGAUAACAGGAUUUUGACAAGCAUAACACAAAGGCAGGUUGUAGGUUAAUGGUCCAGCACUUAGGGAGUAAAUUUAGAUCCCAACAUCAGAAUUUAUGAGGCAUCACUAGAGUUGCAGAGAGGGCUGUUAUCUGGUCAGGGAAAGCCAAGGCAUGGGUGAGUUCAAGGUAGGGCAGGCAUUCCAAGCAAGUUUAGAAAUCGCAGUAAUUUAUAUUAAAGCCAAAAUUAACUUUUCAUGCCUUUGUGUGGAGUUGGCUCCCAAUCUUAGGCUGGAUUUAUCACCCAGGAGUUAGGGACUCUUUAGGGGUGGACCUACUGGGAAGGUCAUGCCUGGGUGGGCAGGUGCUGAUUUUCAAAUGGAGUUACUUUGGCCUAAGGACCUAACGCGGAGGAUCACAAGUUUGAGGAAAGCCUCAGCCACUUAGUGAAACUGUCUAAAACGGAGUUUGGGAUGCAGCUCAGUGGUACAGCACCCCUGAGGGGUCGAUCCCUAGGACUGGGGGGAAGCACAUGAUAACAAUAUGAAAGAGCACAAACGGAUCCGAUAUCGAACAACUAAUUGCAAAUCCCCUACUGCAGAAGAGUGGGCAGCGGAGGGCAUGGAAGUUGAAAGGAGCCAAAGCUCGUUGGCAGCUUCUGCAGAUGCUUGCCUACUGCUGCAUGUGGAAGAGAAAGCUCCCUGUCAGUCGUCCCAAAGGAUGAGGCCUAGGGUCUCUUGCUCAGUAUCGAUGGGACCUCCCCUUUGGUCAAGACUGCUUUGGCUGCAAGGGACAGAACUGUAGCCAAUUAAAGCAAACAAAAAGGGGAGGAUGAUUUUUUUGCUCAUACAAAUAGGAAUUCCCAGAGAUGAGGAUAAUUUAUUUCACGCAUGGCUAGAUCUAGGGACACAAAUGUUACCAACAAGCUUUCAAAUUAAAAUCUGAUCAAAUGUGUUUGCUUA
rnacentral:lncRNA from 1 species